AGAUGGAGACACCCAGGAGAAAGAAGAGGGCGAAUUGGAAGAGGCCACCCAGAAAGGACGGUGUGUGACACUAGGGAGCCAAGCAUGGAGAGCCGAGGACUAACGCUUGGAAGGAAAUGUGGACCAGAAGGUUCCGGAUGAGGGAAGGACUGGCGGCUACACUCUGCCUUCCGAGACAACGAGGAAUAAUCUCACUUCAGUCAGUUCAACCCUUGUAAAACAGCUACUGUGUGCAAGACACGGAGGGAAAGCUGAAGUAGAGAAACCACAGACGCUGUCUUCAAAGGGUUUAAUCUAAUAUUAGUGAUGAGAAAAAUAGGGUGCAGAGCUUAAGGCAUCCUGGAAAAACGUAUGUAGCGCCACAUCGCGAAAAUCUCUCUUCUGGGACCCCUCUCCCAAAAACGUUUCUUCGCCCUCUUCUCCCCCUUCUGCCUCCACUCUUUCUGGACUUCAGGUACAAAUAGUUGAAAUAAUUAUACUCCUUGGUUCAUGAAAUGUGUAAGACUCCUCUCUGGUUUUAUUUUCCCCCUUUAUCCCCAUCCCUACUCCCAACCCCUAUCCUCAACCCCAUAGGCAUUCAUGCUGCUGUGCUUCCAUAUGUAUUUUUGGGAAAUGUACAAAAUUUUUAUCAGUGUAUUUUUUAAAAAUGUUUAAAUAAUGCUACUGGACUUUGGAGAUUAUCUUAUUUUCUACUUUUUUCACUCAACAUUCUUUUUAAGGAUCUGUCCUCGUUGCGAUUGGCAAGCAUAUAGUUCAUUGCUUCUGAGUACUGCACAGCGUUUCAUAAGGGGCAUCUACCACACUUCACUUCCAUUCCCCAGGUGUUAGGUAACAAGGCCGCCUCUAAUUCUCCAAUACAUCAAGUAAUACAGCCAUGAUCGUCUUUGUCCGUGGUCCCUUAAGGACCUCUGUGCAAAUUCCUCUGAAAUAUAUGCCAAGGAGUAAGAUUGUUAAAGUUAUAGGGAUGCACAGGGACAUUUGCUUAUGCAGCUGCGUCCUGCACAAACACAUCCAGCCAUGGGGCAAUGGAGGCUGAAAAACUGUCUCUACUCUCUUUCCCGUGCCAUGUGCCCUACUGGAGAAAGGUGUGCACUUUUUAUUCUCACAAAAUCUCUGUACGCCAGCCAAGUCAUGAACCUAGAAGGCUGUAACUAUCUAGAGGGUGUGAUAUUUUCAAACUCAUCUGGCCAGAUGAACAGUUUUCCAAGAGCACAACGAUGCCCAGUAGCCUAGUACAAGCCCUGGGUACUUACCAAGCACUUUAAGAUUGUGUACCAGAGUUACUGCCCUACGCUGCACUCCAGUGUGGGGUUUCCAUCCAACACUUCCAUCCAUCCCUUCCAGAAGGUGAUAGGUCUUUUUUAUUAAACACUCAUAAAGUGUUUAGUAAAUACCAGAUACUAUUCUAAGUGCUUUGCAAAUAUUGACUCAUCUAAUUAGCUAAUUUUCUAAUUUCUGUCAAUAUGAUGAAAGUAGUGUAAGCUCAUUUUUUGCUUUCAUUUUCACUUCUCUAACUACUAGUGAAUUUUUUGACCAUUUCUUUAUACAUUCAUAGGCUACUUGAGAUUCCCUUCUGUGAACUGCCUUUUCAGUGUCUGUGUCUAUUUUUCUAUUGAUCUUUUUUCUUUUUCUUUUGAUUUACAGAUAUCUUUGAGAAGCCUGGACAUCAAUCUGCUUUAGAAGACUAGAAACUCUGCCUUUAUGUCUUUAAGGGAACAAUAGUCCUUAACUUUGAUACUGUGGCUCUUUAGCUCUUUUUUUCCCUAUAUUUUUUAUAUAGUUUUUUGGUAUUAUUUAGACCUCCUUAACCCCACGGUCAUAAAGGUAUUCUCCCAUCAUUUUUUUCUAUCCAUUAGCUUCAUAGUUUUACUUUUUUACAUUCAGUUAUCUAAUCCAUCUGGAGUUCUCCUUCCCAUAUGGUGUGAGAUAGGGAUCUAACUAUAUUUUUCUCCAUGGGGUGAGCAAAUUUUCCAACAACCCAUGUCAAACAAUCCAUUCUUUCCAAAUUGGUUUGGGGAAGUUUCCAAAUAGACAUGAGUAUGUUCUGAGCUCUCUGGUUUGUUCAUGUGUCAGUACCACAAGGUUUUGUCACUGUGGGUUUUUAGUUAGUCAUCAUGCUUGAAGGGCAAGUUCCCCAUUCCAAAUUCUUCUGUGUUAAGAUUGCUUUGUCUAUCCACGGGCCUUUAUCCUCCCUUAUAAUGUUUAGAGUAAGUUUGUCAAGUUUAUGAGAACUGUGUUGGGUUGAUGAAUAAAUGCAAGGAAAACUGGCA
rnacentral:lncRNA from 1 species